rnacentral:rRNA from 1 species
CCUACGGGAGGCAGCAGUGGGGGAUAUUGGACAAUGGGGGGAACCCUGAUCCAGCGACGCCGCGUGAGUGAAGAAGUAUUUCGGUAUGUAAAGCUCUGUCAGCAGGGAAGAAAGAAAUGACGGUACCUGAGCAAGAAGCCCCGGCUAACUACGGGCCAGCAGCCGCGGUAAUACGUAGGGGGCAAGCGUUAUCCGGAAUUACUGGGUGUAAAGGGAGCGUAGACGGUUAAGUAAGUCUGGAGUGAAAGGCCGGGGCCCAACCCCGGGACUGCUCUGGAAACUAUUGAACUUGAGUGCAGGAGAGGUAAGCGGAAUUCCUAGUGUAGCGGUGAAAUGCGUAGAUAUUAGGAGGAACACCAGUGGCGAAGGCGGCUUACUGGACUGUAACUGACGUUGAGGCUCGAAAGCGUGGGGAGCAAACAGGAUUAGAUACCCGGGUAGUC